rnacentral:rRNA from 1 species
GCAAACGGGUGCGGAACACGUACACAACUUUCCUUUAAGUGGGGGAUAGCCCAGAGAAAUUUGGAUUAAUACCCCGUAACAUUACGAGAUGGCAUCAUUUUAUAAUUAAAGCUCCGGCGCUUAAAGAUGGGUGUGCGGCUGAUUAGGUAGUUGGCGGGGUAACGGCCCACCAAGCCUGCGAUCAGUAACUGGUGUGAGAGCACGACCAGUCACACGGGCACUGAGACACGGGCCCGACUCCUACGGGAGGCAGCAGUAAGGAAUAUUGGUCAAUGGACGCAAGUCUGAACCAGCCAUGCCGCGUGAAGGAUGAAGGUCCUCUGGAUUGUAAACUUCUUUUAUUUGGGAAGAAAUCCAUUUUUUCUAAAGUGGUUGACGGUACCAGAUGAAUAAGCACCGGCUAACUCCGUGCCAGCAGCCGCGGUAAUACGGAGGGUGCAAGCGUUA